GCAGCUAACUGUUAUAGAUUUCAUGAAGGCCCUAGGCUACACAAUAGCAUCAUCAGCAACAUGUGCACCUGAUGCCUGCCAUUGGAACGGUGAUUGAUAGCAUGGCAUCAAUAUCUGUUCAUCGGAUUUAUGUAGUAGAGGGCGAUGACCAUGAAAUUGCUGGUGUUGCGACGCUCAGGGAUGUCAAGCUCUUUCUGUAUUUGUGAGUUUCCUGAUCAUUUCGAUGACUAUUUUGGAUUUGCAGUGGAGAUGCUGAACCGAUGAAAUUGUAGGACCCUUCAUCUUCAGAUCGCAUCUGCAGACGCCAUCAGCCAGAAAUUUCUGGUACACAUUCUGCAUUUCCCUGCUAAUUUCCUACUUUUUUGUGCUGAUAAUUUUAUGAAUUAAUAGAUACCUAACCUUGUAUGGCGUCAACUAAGUUGUGCUGCCAGUAUUAAAAUGUCAUGCAGAGACUGGUUACAUGUCCUGUCAAAGUUUGCAGGUUUUUUUAGUUGAGGUGGCAUAUAGAAGGUUAUGAUAAUUGUUUAAUUUAUACUUGUUUUCUCUUUUUGGUACAUAAUUUGAUCCUCCUUUGUCCUAGCCAUACGUGCAUGCAAAUGGUUUCUCAAUAAAACCGGUAACAUGGAAAAAGUUUUGUUGCGGAUUUUCAAUACUUUGAGUCUUGUUCUUUUAAAGUUUUUUUUUUUUUUUUGACAAUAGAAGGUUCAUCCCUCUUUAGCAGUAAAAGCACAGUUUGGUGACCAAUUAAAUAUCCUUGGACUCCACACGCUGCCGAAGGCUGCAAGCCGCUUGAUUCAUUACUUGAGCCCACAGUAUGACCUUUCUGGACUCCUGUUUUCCGUCGUCUCAAUCAUCAUUUCGCGUUAUCACGCCGUCAAUUUUCCAGAUUCAAAAUUCCAAGGUCCGUAGCGUCUCUCCAUCUUUCCGACAGAACCAAAAUCCAAACAUAAAUGAAAAAUUUCGUAGUUGGAAAAAAAAAAAUCAUCAGCCACAUCAGUGCUCGGAAGUCCGGUUGAUUGAACGGUAGAUGAAAUCCGACUGAUACUACCAACCCCUAUAUCAUAUACCUAAAAUGAUAUUAUAUAAAAUACACGGCGUUCUCAUCCGUAAGAAGCCGUUCUCAUCCGGAAGAAGGAGCGCCGCCUCCGAGGCCAUCCUCCUUCCUCCCCUUUCAUGUCUCAACCUUUGUCUCCGGCCGCCUUCCUUCGUUCCAACAUCUAACGGGGGCCGCUAAUGGGGAAUUCCCCCUCCCCCCUUCCCCCAGCCAAAAAGAAAAAGAAAAAGAAAAGCCUUUGCCACGUGCCAUUCUGGCAUUGGUGCUUCUCACCGCUUGCGCUCCCGGUUCCCUGCCUUGGUACCGUAAUUGGGCUCCGUAGAUUCAUUCGCUCGAUAUGGGUGGCGAUUUCGGUAAAUCCUCGUCCAUCCCAUCCCUUUUCUGUAAUUUCAUGUUCGCGGUGGUACUAUAAAUAUACGAAAUCCCUCUUCUCCUCCUCGUGAGAGGACCCCCGCCCCGCCUCGUUUGGUUCCAACUUUCCACGGGCUUUCUUCCCCGUCUUCGUUUCCUCCGACCUCCGUAUCCUCGUAAUAAAAGAAAAGAAAGAGAGAGAGAGGGGGGGGGGGGGGUUUCCUCGGACGUCCGUGUCCUCGUAAUAAAGAGAAGAAAGAGAGAGAGAGAGAGAGAGAGAGAGAGAGAGAGGGAUAAUAUAUAAAGAUAUAUUAUGGAAAGUGGGGGUAACUCCCUGGCGACGGUGGCCGGGACGGAUGGGACGAAGCGGCGGGUGUGCUACUUCUACGAGCCGGAGGUGGGGAACUACUACUACGGGCAGGGGCACCCGAUGAAGCCCCACCGGAUCCGGAUGGCCCACGCCCUCAUCGCCAACUACGGCCUCCUCAACCGCAUGCAGGUCCUCCGCCCCGUCCCCGCCCGCGACCGCGACCUCUGCCGCUUCCACGCCGACGACUACGUCUCCUUCCUCCGCUCCGUCACCCCCGAGACCCAGCACGACCAGAUCCGCGCCCUCCGCCGCUUCAACGUCUGCGACGACUGCCCCGUCUUCGACGGACUCUAUGCCUUCUGCCAGACCUACGCCGGCGCCUCCGUCGGCGCCGCCGUCAAGCUUAACCACCAGCACCACGACAUCGCCAUCAACUGGGCCGGCGGCCUCCACCACGCCAAGCGCUGCGAGGCCUCCGGCUUCUGCUACGUCAACGACAUCGUCCUCGCCAUCCUCGAGCUCCUCAAGUUGCACGAGCGUGUUCUGUAUGUGGACGUUGAUAUCCACCAUGGAGAUGGUGUAGAGGAGGCAUUCUACACAACUGAUAGAGUAAUGACAGUUUCUUUUCAUAAAUUUGGGGAUUAUUUUCCUGGAACAGGAGAUAUACGCGAUACGGGAUUUGGGAAAGGAAAACAUUAUGCUGUAAAUGUACCUUUAGAUGAUGGAAUUGAUGAUGACAGCUAUCAAUCUCUAUUCAAACCUAUCAUAUCAAAAGUAAUGGAGGUUUUUAGGCCUGGUGCUGUGGUGCUUCAGGGUGGUGCUGAUUCCUUAUCUGGAGACCGAUUGGGUUGUUUCAACCUUUCAGUCAAAGGGCAUGCUGAGUGUGCCAGAUACAUGAGGUCGUUUAAUGUGCCACUGUUGAUGGUGGGUGGAGGUGGGUACACCAUUCGGAAUGUUGCUCGCUGUUGGUGCUAUGAGACAGGAGUUGCUCUUGGUAUAGAAGUUGAUGACAAGGUGCCUCAACAUGAAUAUUAUGGCUAUUUUGCUCCAGACUAUACCCUUCAUGUUGCACCAAGUAAUAUGGAGAAUAAAAAUUCACGCCAGUUAUUGGACAAUAUAAGAAUGAGGAUUCUAGAUAAUCUUUCAAAACUCCAACAUGCUCCAAGUGUCCAAUUUCAGGAGCGGCCACCUGAUACAGAGCUUCCAGAGUAUGAUGAAGAUGAAGAGGAUGCAGAUGGAAGAUAUGAUCCUAAUUCUGAUAGAGAAAUGGAUGAUGCUUCCCCUGUAGAUGAGACAUCAUGACCUGCAAAUGAAAUACAGACCAUAAGAGCCGAGAUGGACAUCAUUGAAAAUGAAAUGAAAGAUCAGGAACCACACAAAUUAGCUGCAGAACAUGCGAAAGAUGUAGAGGUCAUGGACGAGGUGAUGCCACCAUGCUCCAAGGCCUCAGGUAUAGAGUCCAUAUCAGUUGAUGAACCAAGUGACACGAAGGUUGAAGAAGAUAAGCAUGCUGCUCGGUGAACCUGAUUUGAUGUACUCAGGCGUUCAGUGAGAGUAAAUGGGUGAUUUUGUCGUUCUUUAUUUCUUAGAACAUUUCUUUUAAAUCUUUUUACUUUUUUUUUUUUCAAUAACACAAAGGGGGAGGGUUCCCCUUGCGUUCUUUAUCUCUUAGAACAUUUCUUUUAAAUCUUUUUACCUUUUUUUUUUCAAUAACACAAAGGAGGAGGGUUCCCCUUGCAUCAAAGUGUCAGGAAACAAUUCACAGGUGGAUGCAUCAAUUGUAAUCUUGUAUAUAUGUGACUGAUUUUGCUCCUCUGUUGUUAUUUU